AUUGAACGCUGGCGGCAUGCUUUACACAUGCAAGUCGAACGGUAACAGGCCGCAAGGUGCUGACGAGUGGCGAACGGGCGAGUAAUGCAUCGGAACGUGCCCAGUCGUGGGGGAUAACUACUCGAAAGAGUAGCUAAUACCGCAUACGAUCUAUGGAUGAAAGCGGGGGACCGUAAGGCCUCGCGCGAUUGGAGCGGCCGAUGUCAGAUUAGGUAGUUGGUGGGGUAAAGGCUCACCAAGCCAACGAUCUGUAGCUGGUCUGAGAGGACGACCAGCCACACUGGGACUGAGACACGGCCCAGACUCCUACGGGAGGCAGCAGUGGGGAAUUUUGGACAAUGGGCGCAAGCCUGAUCCAGCAAUGCCGCGUGCAGGAAGAAGGCCUUCGGGUUGUAAACUGCUUUUGUACGGAACGAAACGGCUCUGGUUAAUACCCGGGGCUAAUGACGGUACCGUAAGAAUAAGCACCGGCUAACUACGUG
rnacentral:rRNA from 1 species